rnacentral:rRNA from 1 species
CGAAACCGAUAGCGAACAAGUACCGUGAGGGAAAGUUGAAAAGUACUCUGAAUAGAGAGUUAAAUAGUACGUGAAACCGCUUAGGGGUUAAGCCCGAUGAACCCGAAUAUCUGAUGUGAGAAAUUCAAUACAAUUCAAAUUCAUAUUUUUAUAUUGGAUUUGUAUAGUAUGCACUUUUCUCAUAGUAAGACAUUGUAAUCCAUUGAUAUUAUAUCUCGAUUUCGAGAUGAUUUAACAUACGGACAAAAUGUUUAUGAUUAUUCUAUCAGUGAUAUGUUUACAUGUCAUAUGAAUAAAAUCGUUUUGUACCUGUUUAAAUAGUCGAUGGAUUUUUCAUUGAAAUCAUGCUUGCAAUUUAUUUUGCGUUUCGUAUCAUUAAUUUUUAAUUGUUGAUAGCAGAAAUGGCAUGUAUUCGAUUAACAAUGCGAUAGAUUUGGGAUACUUUCAGGACCCG